rnacentral:rRNA from 1 species
UGCCUACGGGGCGCAGCAGUGGGGAAUAUUGCACAAUGGGGGAAACCCUGAUGCAGCGACGCCGCGUGAGUGAAGAAGUAUUUCGGUAUGUAAAGCUCUAUCAGCAGGGAAGAAACCCACCCUUUGGGGUGGCUGACGGUACCUGACUAAGAAGCCCCGGCUAACUACGUGCCAGCAGCCGCGGUAAUACGUAGGGGGCAAGCGUUAUCCGGAUUUACUGGGUGUAAAGGGAGCGUAGGUGGUCCGUUAAGUCAGCGGUAAAAUUGCGGGGCUCAACCCCGUCGAGCCGUUGAAACUGGCAGACU